CCCUCGCCGCCGCCGCGAAGAGCCAGACGCCUCGCGCCGCCCGCAGAGUAGGGGAUCCUGCUCGCUGCCUUCCCUGGAAACCUACCCAGGCGAUGGAGCAUGCGCAGGCGGCUCCUCCGCGGGCGAGCCCUCCGUGUGGUCCAUGGGGAGCGCUCCGGUUAUCCGGGUUUUAGGACGCGCUUUGAGGGACGUACGUGGAGACUGAGGAAAACCGGAGGGGAUUACUACGGGGACGAGGAAUGGAGGGGUCAGGAGGCGGGGCCGAGGAGAAGGGAGGAGGGGUCCUGGGAAAAUGGGCUGCGUUUCACAGGCCUAGAUGAAACACCUCCUCAAUGGGUGUUUUCCAAGCGGCUUCCCGCUCACUCUGGGUUCCCAGCUAUUUUCAUUCAUUCAAACGUUCCCUGGGCGCCUCCUUUAUGCUAAUCUCGGCGUUUGGUGCAGGAGCGCCAGAGAUGUCUGGGGUUCGGGCAAGUGACACGUCGGGGACUGUCUUCAUUCAUUACACCCCCCCAUGCUAAUGAGGAGGCCCUUCCAGAGCUCCUCAAGCGGAAAACUUUUGCAGUUGAGCUCUCUCGCCUUAGCGUUCUCCUUGGGUGUGAAAUGAGGUCAAGCCAAGGCCUCUAGCAAAGACACCCCUAAUGGCCACCUCGCAGACACACGCCAGAGCGCGGAGUAGUUCUCUCCAGAAGGGAAAACUGCCUUGGAAUUGAGAGCCACAUUCUCCCACCUCCGAGUCUGCCCAGAGGACCCGAUCAAAGCUCUUGCCGCUCGCGUGCUGCAUGGCCUCUCUAAGACCCCAUCGCAGCCACCACCGUGUGUGAGCCCAGAGAUUCCCAGAUCCAGCACUGCCUCCCGCAGGGAGCCCCAAAACCCGGAGAACUGGAAUUCGCCGCCCGAAACCUGUUGAAGGCGCUGCAGGAUUGGCGCGGCCCGCGCGAGCGGCACUGCGCAUGUACCCAAUGCGGGCAGUCCAGUCUCACGCUACACCUCCUUCCCACCGCCUUCCACUACUCGGCUCAGACACAACACGGCCGUGGGAAAUUUCCUAAACCUCGCGAGAACGUGCCCCUGUUGCCUAAGCUUUCGCCCCAAAUCUCGCGGAGCCAAGUAGACGGAGUUUUACCAUGUUAGUCAGGAUGGUCUCGAUCUCCUGACCUCGUGAUCCGCCCGCCUCGGCCUCCCAAAGUGCUGGGAUUACACGUGUGAGCCACCGCGCCUGGCAGCAAUUGGUUGUUUUCUUUCUAAUCUACCCGCUGGCCCUGUGAGCUGGGUAGAAAAAUAAAUAAAUAAAUAAAUAAACAGCUCUGCGCUCUCGCCUUGUUGCCUUGUAUAGAUUCUUGCUCCCGUUUAAGGACACGAUUUUUAAAAUUUCUUGUCAGUCUCUUCUUAGCCUUUUGAAGUAAUCUUACAAAUCAGUUUCUGUUUUUUCCUCCCACUAAUAUGGCUUUUUUGCUUUCCGUCACCUUUCCGUAUUUUUAUUGCAAUAUUCCAUUUUACGUAUGGCUGCGGCAGGUGCUAUAGUGACUACUGUUUUAAAUGCAGCCCUUCCUUUUGGAUCAUUCAUCCAAUGAGUUCCUGAUUACGUAAAUUCUUCAAUCAGCCACGUUUCAGAUUGGCCCUGAUGUGGUUUCUAUACCAGCCUUAGCCUGGCAUUAUCUAGGAACCAGUGUCUUCCUGCUCACGUCACAGCCCCGCAAAUGUAGAGUUGAAUUGAAUUUUGAUAUUUGGAGGACAGUGAGUUCUCUAAUAGGAAACCCUGGUUUUUAAGUUGUUUUCAAGGUUUUAGGGGUGUGUGUGUGUGUGUGUGUGCGUGUGUGUGUGUUUGUGUUUGCCUAUUGAUUAUAUACACAAAAAAACAGACUUAAAACCAUUUGGUGCAAUAUCUCAGUGCAAGUCUGGCUUGGAACAGGAUAGCUCAGGAGGAGGACAAAGCCCUUGGGGCACAUAUUCCUUGGAGCUGUCAUCCCAAGAAGGUAUUUCAGUCAUGGCCUAGUCCAGACCACUGAUCUAAUUUGGAAUCAUGGCCUUCUGAGAGCCCCAGCGACCUUGGGAAGCCAUGGUAACCACAAAGGGAAUAACAGCUCCCCCUUUUUGCCCUAAAACAUGCUCCAUCUGCAGCCCUCCCCCAUCUCAGGAAAGGACAACUCCAUUCUUCCACUUAUGUCAAGAACCUUGGAGUCCUUGCCUCCUUUCUCACACCCAAGAUACAAUUGGACGGAAAAUCCUAUUGGCUCCACCUUCAGAAUAUACUCACAUUCCAAAUACUGUCACACCUCUUUAGCUACUAGCCUAGUCUAACCCAUCUUAUUUCCCACCUGGUUUAAGGAAGUUCCCUAACUGGUCCUCCCUUCUUCCGUUCUUGUCUUCCCGCAGUCUGUGCUAAUAGAGCAUUCUCAGUGGCCCUCUAGAACUCCUCCAUGACUUUCCCAUUUCACUAUGAGGACUUAGACAAUCUUGCCUACUGCCAAACCCCCCCUGAUCUAUCUGCCUUCACCUCCUCCUCUACCUCUCACUCUGUGGGCUCUCACCAGUUGCCUUCCUUACUGUUCCUGGGAUGCCCCAAGCACACUUUCAGCUCCAAGCCUUUGCUUUUUCCACUACCUGGAAUGCUCUUCCCUCAUAUACCUUAUAGCUCAUUCCCUCACUCCUUUCUUGUCUUUGCCUGAUGUCACCUCCUCAGGGAGGCCUUCCCUGACACCCUUCCCAAGAGGGACUCCCAUACUCCUUAUCCCCCUUUCUGCUUGAUUUUGUCCAUGGCACCUAUCAUUAACUAACAUAACAUUUAUCAUACUUGUGUGUUGUGUUUACUAUCUGCCUCCUUCCAUUAUAAUGUAAUAUUAAUAAGGGCAAGGACUUUUGUCUAGUUUGUUCAUUAUUCAAGCCUUAGCUGCUGGAACAAUGCCUGCUGUAUUAUAUUUGUAGAAUGAAUGGGGUGUCUUCCACUUUAGGGCAGAGUAAAAAUGAUUCUGAAGACUAAGCCUCCUAGGGUUCAAAACAAUAUUAGGACUAGACUAGCAGUGAGUACUAGCCUGCCUAGGGAGGAGAAAAAGGCAUAUGGAGCAACCACCUGUGUUGGUUUUUUGCAAAAAAAAAA
rnacentral:lncRNA from 10 species